rnacentral:rRNA from 1 species
ACUCCUAGCUUGACUAUUGGACUAAUCUAUACAAACAUAGAAGCAAUACUGUUAAUAUGAGUAACAAGAAAUUUUUCUCCUCGCACAAGCUUAUUUCAGUAGCUGAUAGUAUACUGAUAGUUAACAACUAAUAAAUAAAACCCAACACUAAACUAUUUAUUAAUAUACUGUUAACCCAACACAGGUGUGCAUUAAGGAAAGAUUAAAAAAAGUAAAAGGAACUCGGCAAAUAUAAACCCCGCCUGUUUACCAAAAACAUCACCUCUAGCAUAACUAGUAUUAGAGGCACUGCCUGCCCAGUGACAAUAGUUAAACGGCCGCGGUAUCCUGACCGUGCAAAGGUAGCAUAAUCAUUUGUUCUUUAAAUAAGGACUUGUAUGAAUGGCCACACGAGGGUUUUACUGUCUCUUACUUUUAAUCAGUGAAAUUGACCUCCCCGUGAAAAGGCGGGGAUAAUAAAAUAAGACGAGAAGACCCUAUGGAGCUUUAAUUAACCAACCCAAAAAAUCUUAAAUCUUAACCACCAGGGAAUAACAAAACUUUAUAUGGGUUGACAAUUUUCGGUUGGGGGUGACCUCGGAGUAUAAAAAAACCUCCGAAUGAUUAAAACUUAGGCCUACCAGCCAAAGUAUCAUAUCACUUAUUGAUCCAAAACUUUUUGAUCAACGGAACAAGUUACCCUAGGGAUAACAGCGCAAUCCUAUUCUAGAGUCCAUAUCGACAAUAGGGUUUACGACCUCGAUGUUGGAUCAGGACAUCCUAAUGGUGUAGCCGCU